rnacentral:rRNA from 1 species
UACGGAGGAUGCAAGCGUUAUCCGGAAUGAUUGGGCGCAAAGCGUCCGCAGGUGGCAGUUCAAGUCUGCUGUCAAAGACCGGGGCUUAACUUCGGAAAGGCAGUGGAAACUGAACAGCUAGAGUAUGGUAGGGGCAGAGGGAAUUCCUGGUGUAGCGGUGAAAUGCGUAGAGAUCAGGAAGAACAUCGGUGGCGAAGGCGCUCUGCUGGACCAUAACUGACACUCAGGGACGAAAGCUAGGGGAGCGAAUGGG